rnacentral:rRNA from 1 species
AACGAACGCUGGCGGCAGGCUUAACACAUGCAAGUCGAACGCCCCGCAAGGGGAGUGGCAGACGGGUGAGUAACGCGUGGGAAUCUACCUUUUGCUACGGGAUAGCUCCGGGAAACUGGAAUUAAUACCGUAUGUGCCCUUCGGGGGAAAGAUUUAUCGGCAAAGGAUGAGCCCGCGUUGGGUUAGCUAGUUGGUGGGGUAAAGGCCUACCAAGGCGACGAUCCAUAGCUGGUCUGAGAGGCUGAUCAGCCACAUUGGGCCUGAGACACGGCCCAACCUCCUGAGGGAGGCAGCAAUGGGGAAUAUUGGACAAUGGGCGCAAGCCUGAUCCAGCCAUGCCGCGUGAGUGAUGAAGGUCUUAGGAUUGUAAAGCUCUUUCACCGGGGACGAUAAUGACGGUACCCGGAGAAGAAGCCCCGGCUAACUUCGUGCCAGCCGCCGCCGUAA